rnacentral:rRNA from 1 species
CACGUAGGGUGCGAGCGUUGUCCGGAAUUAUUGGGCGUAAAGAGCUCGUAGGCGGUCCGUCACGUCGGAUGUGAAAUCCAGGGCUCAACCCUGGACCUGCAUUCGAUACGGGCGGACUAGAGUUCGGUAGGGGAGACUGGAAUUCCUGGUGUAGCGGUGAAAUGCGCAGAUAUCAGGAGGAACACCGGUGGCGAAGGCGGGUCUCUGGGCCGAUACUGACGCUGAGGAGCGAAAGCGUGGGGAGCGAACAGG